rnacentral:rRNA from 1 species
UACAGAGGGUGCAAGCGUUAAUCGGAAUGACUGGGCGUAAAGGGCGCGUAGGUGGCAAGAUAAGUUAGAUGUGAAAUCCCUGGGCUUAACCUGGGAACUGCAUUUAAUACUGUUUUGCUAGAGUAAAGUAGAGGGAAGUGGAAUUUCCGGUGUAGCGGUGAAAUGCGUAGAUAUCGGAAGGAACACCAGUGGCGAAGGCGGCUUCCUGGACUUAUACUGACACUGAGGCGCGAAAGCGUGGGGAGCAAACAG